rnacentral:rRNA from 1 species
AACGAACGCUGGCGGCGCGCCUAAUACAUGCAAGUCGGGCGAGAAGACGUAGCAAUACGUUUGUAAAGCGGCGAACGGGUGAGGAAUACAUGGUAACCUACCCUCGAGUGGGGAAUAACUAGCCGAAAGGUUAGCUAAUACCGCAUACGACUCUCGGUCUGCGGAUCGAGAGGGAAAGCGAUACCGUGGGUAUCGCGCUCCUGGAUGGGCUCAUGUCCUAUCAGCUUGUUGGUGAGGUAACGGCUCACCAAGGCUUCGACGGGUAGCUGGUCUGAGAGGACGAUCAGCCACGCUGGCACUGCGACACGGGCCAGACUCCUACGGGAGGCAGCAGUAAGGAAUAUUGCGCAAUGGGCGACAGCCUGACGCAGCGACGCCGCGUGGGGGAUGAAGGUCUUCGGAUUGUAAACCCCUUUCGGCAGGGAAGAUGGAGCGGGUAACCGCUCGGACGGUACCUGCAGAAGCAGCCACGGCUAACUUCGUGCCAGCAGCCGCCGUAACAC